rnacentral:rRNA from 1 species
AGGUAAUGUCUGGGAAACUGCCUGAUGGAGGGGGAUAACUACUGAAACGGUAGCUAAUACCGCAUAACGUCGCAAGACCAAAGUGGGGGACCUUCGGGCCUCAUGCCAUCAGAUGUGCCCAGAUGGGAUUAGCUAGUAGGUGGGGUAACGGCUCACCUAGGCGACGAUCCCUAGCUGGUCUGAGAGGAUGACCAGCCACACUGGAACUGAGACACGGUCCAG